rnacentral:lncRNA from 1 species
UCCCUGUCAGCACGAAUAUCAUUUUCUGCACUACAAAAGCACUUUUUUGAGUCAUCAUUGACUCAUUCUUUUCAUCUUCUGUUUCUAGUCACCAUGAAAUCCUACAGAAUUGUUUUGCAAAAUAACUCUGGAUCCCACCCUCCUUCCUGUAACUUCACAACCAUCCCACCUUGUCCUGGUGCAGCCUGGGCGCUCCUUACUUCCUGGUUCUCUACACCGUGUCCCUUCUGAGACAGCGUUCAGGCUGAAAAGUAAAACUGAGGGCAAUUCGAAUCUGAACUCAUUCUCUCGAGAACUCCACGGUGAAGAGAAUUUAAAAAGAAGUCGGGGGGGGGGAAGUCCGGAGCCCAUUGCCCGAGUUAAAGUCAGCUCUGACAAUUAAUUCCUAAGAGUUCUUUAACUAUUUCAUCUUUGAGGUAGACUUCACCAUGCUCCCUACGUCACAGGGUCAUUGUGAGAAGGAAGACUCAGAGCGUGUAGGUGAACUCCACCAGUGUCUCCCCAUCUCCGGCCCUGUCAGGUUUUUCAGACUGUCUGUGAAGGAGAAGAUGAUGAAAGCAGUCUACCAGGGACAGGAGAUGAAGAACAUGUCCCACAGAAUGUUUUGAAAACAAUAAUCAAUCUGAUGAAAAGCCACAAGAUGUUGUGAGGAGGAUGACUCCAUCUCACCCCCUCAUUGUGGAAACUCCUGGCAUUAAGAGUAUGGCUCCCUGUGCAUAUUCCUUUGUUCCACAGGAAUUGCAGGCCUGCUUGAAGCCAAAUCCCACGCUCCUUUGGGAAAGCCAGCCCUCUGUUAUUUAGUCCCAUCGAUGAUGAUGAAAUAACAAGAGAAC